rnacentral:rRNA from 1 species
UACAGAGGUCCCAAGCGUUGUUCGGAUUCACUGGGCGUAAAGGGCGCGUAGGCGGCCACCGCAAGUCGACUGUGAAAUCUCCGGGCUUAGCCCGGAAAGGUCAGCCGAUACUGCGGGGCUAGAGUGCAGAAGGGGCAACUGGAAUUCUCGGUGUAGCGGUGAAAUGCGUAGAUAUCGAGAGGAACACCUGCGGCGAAGGCGGGUUGCUGGGCUGACACUGACGCUGAGGCGCGAAAGCUAGGGGAGCGAACGGG